rnacentral:rRNA from 1 species
GAUGAACGCUGGCGGCGUGCCUAAUACAUGCAAGUCGAGCGAACGGACGAGAAGCUUGCUUCUUUGAUGUUAGCGGCGGACGGGUGAGUAACACGUGGAUAACCUUCCUAUAAGACUGGGAUAACUUCGUGAAACCGUAGCUAAUUACGGCAAAUCGUCUGAACCGCAUGGUUCAAAAGUGAAAGACGGUCUUGCUGUCACUUAUAGAUGGAUCCGCGCGGCAUUAGCUAGUUGGUAAGGUAACGGCUUACCAAGGCAACGAUGCAUAGCCGACCUGAGAGGGUGAUCGGCCACACUGGAACUGAGACACGGUCCAGACUCCUACGGGAGGCAGCAGUAGGGAAUCUUCCGCAAUGGGCGAAAGCCUGACGGAGCAACGCCGCGUGAGUGAUGAAGGUCUUCGGAUCGUAAAACUCUGUUAUUAGGGAAGAACAUAUGUGUAAGUAACUGUGCACAUCUUGACGGUACCUAAUCAGAAAGCCACGGCUAACUACGUG